CCGUCCCAGGAGUCCUGACAUUGGCUAGCCAGAGCUCGUCGCGUCUGCCUGAAAGGCCGCUCCUCUACCAAGAGCACUCAAAUUCCCCAAGAAACCCUCUGAGGGGUUAGCAACCACCUCUAGCAGAGGAAACGGCUGUGCAAAGGAGGGAACUUGGCUGUUGGAACUAAGUGGAGUCCAUGGUGCUGGGGAAUCCAUGGUGCAAGGACGAGCCUGCCCUGAGAUUGGAGAGACUAAGAGACAAACACAUCUUUAAUCUGCACAUCUCUUCUACGCUUCAGGAUUGUAUAUUCAAUUGCCUCCAGACAUCUCACUCCCAAAUGUGCCUGAAACUCAACAUUUUCAAAGAUUUUCCUGGUGAUCACAUAGCAGGAGGCUCUGUUUGCCACAAGUAUUGUAAUACUAGAGGUAAUAAAGAUGGUUGUCAGUUGCAAAGGAGAAUCUCAAGGGUGGAGUUCAGGUAACACUGUAGGGCAACUGAAUAAGGGUAGGACUAAAUGGGUUGAAUUAUAGAGCGAUUGAGGUGAGUCAGGCAAUUAGAAGUGGAUUUAAAAUAUAUCAUCUGACCCAUGUCGUGAUGGCUUUAUGAAAAUGAUGUUUUCAUAAAUUGACUUCAUGUUUCUAUAAACCAGAACAUAGGAUUUUUGAGCAGGAACCUUUGAGAUCAUCUAGUGACCAUUUCAUUUUCCAAAAAGUGAACAUUUGCCUACUUGUGACUUGUCCAAGGUCAUAUACAUCCAAUAAUGGGAGGAGAGCGAGGACUAGAAUCCAUAUCCCCAGAUUCCAAGUACUUUGCUUUCUCUAUUACAUAAAUAUUAAAUCAGUUCUAAGAACUCAAUAUUCCAAACUCCCCAUGAAGUAAGCUGUAUGCAUAGAAAAAUUAUUGAAGAUAAAGAAACUGAGGCUCAGAAGGGUGGAGUAAAUUUACCAAAUCCCAUGGCUGGACUAGACCAAAGCCCAGGCCUCACAAUCCCUGGGCCAAUAGGCUUCUACUAAACCAUAUUGCUUCAGAGUUUAAAAAAAGUGAAAUCUUAAAUGCCAUGUGCCUAGGCAUAGAAUUCACUCUUUCAACCUACAGGUAUUUUACUUUGUGCUG